GUAGUCUUGGCCCUAAACUAUGUUCACUAGGUGUCGGGGGGUUUCCCUCGGUGCCGCAGCUAACGCAUUAAGUGAACCGCCUGGGGACUACGGCCGCAAGGUUGAAACUCAAAGGAAUUGGCGGGGGCCCGCACAAGCGGUGGAGCAUAUGGCUUAAUUCGAUGCAACGCGAAGAACCUUACCAGGGCUUGACAUGCACCUGCAAUCCCCCGAAACGGGGCCGCCUUCGAGGGUGGUGCACAGGUGGUGCAUGGCUGUCGUCAGCUCGUGUUGUGAAAUGUUGGGUUAAGUCCCGCAACGAGCGCAACUCUCAUGUUUUGUUACCAGCGGAUAAUGCCGGGGACUCGAGACAAACUGCCUCUGUAAAGAGGA
rnacentral:rRNA from 1 species